rnacentral:misc_RNA from 1 species
GCCAACAAUAUCAUGGAAGAAACAAUCUGGGAUGGAUCACCAAACCAGUACACCAACAACAAAUGCACAAUGAUUGUGGUCACACUGGUCCACACCAGCUCAAUAAAUAGUGGGAUGCAUGAUACACUAGACUAUAACAGAGGCAAAUUAGUCGUUUAAAAGAUCAUGUUUCAAUAUGACCAUGAAUGUGAAAUGAAGGCAGCCACACAACAUUGAGACCAGUUUAAAUUGACAACUGGACUGUCAAUGUAGCAAAUUUUUAGGUCAGAGCCUCUCUGCUCUGAACUAAGCCUUUAUAAUGCUACUGCAAAUCAUAAUUCAUAAACCUCCUCAAUAAUGCGUGUCAACAGAUGUUGCCACACUGGUACUCAAAAAAUCAUGCAUCCAUUUGCCAGAUAAAGUCAACAAGGAAGCCACCAUAAGGGUGACCACUGAUAUGCUAAAAAAACUAAUUAUAUUUUCCUUGCAUAUGUAGGUGUCUAGAACAAAAUUUCCACCUAUGCUAUAAGCAAAGUCUCAUGUUUGCCAGAGAUAGAUUUACAAAGCUUGAAAUGCUAACAAAACAAAAGAAUGAAGUGAAGCUGAGCAUAUCCACUUUGAGCGAUGACCAAAUGCUUGUGGUCUUACUUUUCCAAAAGCGUGAUUAUCCAUGCAUUAUUAACAUUAUAAUUCAAUAAGAACUUAAUUUAUAAAAACAUUCCAAUUUCCAGCCUUCUAAAAAGAAUAAUAUCAAAGGUGUGGUUGUGGC